rnacentral:rRNA from 1 species
UGAGGCUCGAAAGCGUGGGAGCAAACAGGAUUAGAUACCCUGGUAGUCCACGCCGUAAACGAUGUCUACUAGUCGUUGGGUCCCUUGAGGACUUAGUGACGCAGCUAACGCAAUAAGUAGACCGCCUGGGGAGUACGGCCGCAAGGUUAAAACUCAAAUGAAUUGACGGGGGCCCGCACAAGCGGUGGAGCAUGUGGUUUAAUUCGAUGCAACGCGAAGAACCUUACCUGGUCUUGACAUAUCUAGAAUCCUGCAGAGAUGCGGGAGUGCCUUCGGGAAUUAGAAUACAGGUGCUGCAUGGCUGUCGUCAGCUCGUGUCGUGAGACGUUGGGUUAAGUCCCGCAACGAGCGCAACCCUUGUCCUUAGUUACCAGCGGGUUAAGCCGGGAACUCUAAGGAUACUGCCAGUGACAAACUGGAGGAAGGCGGGGACGACGUCAAGUCAUCAUGGCCCUUACGACCAGGGCUACACACGUGCUACAAUGGUAGGUACAGAGGGCAGCUACACAGCGAUGUGAUGCGAAUCUCAAAAAGCCUAUCGUAGUCCAGAUUGGAGUCUGCAACUCGACUCCAUGAAGUAGGAAUCGCUAGUAAUCGCGGAUCAGAAUGCCGCGGUGAAUACGUUCCCGGGCCUUGUACACACCGCCCGU